GGAGAUUAAGCGUGUUGUGAAAUGCCGCGGCUCAACCGUGGCACUGCAGCGCGAACUGGUUUUCUUGAGUGCGCGCGACGCAGGCGGAAUUCGUGGUGUAGCGGUGAAAUGCUUAGAUAUCACGAGGAACCCCGAUUGCGAAGGCAGCUUGCGGGAGCGCAACUGACGCUGAAGCUCGAAGGUGCGGGUAUCGAACAGGAUUAGAUACCCUGGUAGUCCGCACGGUAAACGAUGGAUGCCCGCUGUUCCGUUAUAUGAUGGAGUGGCCAAGCGAAAGCGUUAAGCAUCCCACCUGGGGAGUACGCCGGCAACGGUGAAACUCAAAGGAAUUGACGGGGGCCCGCACAAGCGGAGGAACAUGUGGUUUAAUUCGAUGAUACGCGAGGAACCUUACCCGGGCUUGAAUUGCAGAAGACGGAUCCAGAGAUGGUGACUCCCUUCGGGGCUUCUGUGAAGGUGCUGCAUGGUUGUCGUCAGCUCGUGCCGUGAGGUGUCGGCUUAAGUGCCAUAACGAGCGCAACCCCUGUCCUUAGUUGCCAUCAGGUAGAGCUGGGCACUCUGAGGAUACUGCCACCGCAAGGUGUGAGGAAGGUGGGGAUGACGUCAAAUCAGCACGGCCCUUACGUCCGGGGCUACACACGUGUUACAAUGGGUGGUACAGAGAGUAGAGUGCCCGCAAGGUCAUUCCAAUCAAGAAAGCCAUCCCCAGUUCGGAUUGGGGUCUGCAACCCGACCCCAUGAAGCUGGA
rnacentral:rRNA from 1 species